rnacentral:rRNA from 1 species
AAUGAACGCUGGCGGCAUGCCUUACACAUGCAAGUCGAACGGCAGCAUGACCUAGAUUGCUAGGUUGAUGGCGAGUGGCGCACGGGUGAGUAAUGCAUCGGAACGUGCCUUUUAGUGGGGGAUAACGUAGCGAAAGUUACGCUAAUACCGCAUAUUCUCUGAGGAGGAAAGCAGGGGACCUUCGGGCCUUGCGCUAGAAGAGCGGCCGAUGUCGGAUUAGCUAGUUGGUGAGGUAAAGGCUCACCAAGGCAACGAUCCGUAGCGGGUCUGAGAGGAUGAUCCGCCACACUGGGACUGAGACACGGCCCAGACUCCUACGGGAGGCAGCAGUGGGGAAUUUUGGACAAUGGGCGCAAGCCUGAUCCAGCCAUGCCGCGUGAGUGAAGAAGGCCUUCGGGUUGUAAAGCUCUUUCGGCUGGGAAGAAAUCGCACCCUCUAAUACAGGGUGUGGAUGACGGUACCAGCAUAAGAAGCACCGGCUAACUACGUG